AGGAUAUCCACUUUGUUGGCCUAUAAGAUCCCAAUGGAAGAUGCCCUGCCUCUCUCUAGAGCCUUUGCCAUGCUGGAAGAAGCUAAACAGCACUUCAGUCUUGAAGAGUACAGCUUUUCUUUGAACACUUUGGAACAGGUAUUCCUGGAACUGUGCAAAGAACAUGAGCGAGAUUAUUUUGAAUCGGGUCCAACUUCUGAAUGGAGAGAACUGUAGCAUCAACAAGAUAGUUGAAAGACUGAUCAACAACCAAGGCAAACACACCAGUUUCUUCCACCAGGAAAAAUGGAGGGCAAAUAGGUUGAGCACUGAGGAAUGUUGUGCCUGGACAUCCCCUGGGGAAAAAAAAUUCUGUAAUCUUCUCUAUGUUUAUAACAAGUAUGCCUAGUUGUCUGCGAGAAAGAUUAACCCUCAUAUUUAUCGUAUCUAGAGAUAUAACAUUUUUGAAUAUUUCACAACUAACAGCAAAACAAAUGUUUCUGCACUAUUUUGUUUUCAUGAG